rnacentral:rRNA from 1 species
AAGAAACCAACAGGGAUUACCUCAGUAACGGCGAGUGAAGCGGUAACAGCUCAAAUUUGAAAUCUGGGUCUUUCAGGCUCCGAGUUGUAAUUUGUAGAAGAUGCUUCGGGUGCGGCUCCGGUCUAAGUUCCUUGGAACAGGACGUCAUAGAGGGUGAGAAUCCCGUAUGUGAUCGGUCGCUUGCGCCCAUGUGAAGCUCUUUCGACGAGUCGAGUUGUUUGGGAAUGCAGCUCCAAAUGGGUGGUAUAUUUCAUCUAAAGCUAAAUAUUGGCCAGAGACCGAUAGCGCACAAGUAGAGUGAUCGAAAGAUGAAAAGCACUUUGGAAAGAGAGUUAAACAGUACGUGAAAUUGUUGAAAGGGAAGCGCUUGCAACCAGACUUGCGUGUUGUUGAUCAUCCGGGGUUCUCCCCGGUGCACUCGACCUCACUCAGGCCAGCAUCGGUUUCGGUGGUUGGAUAAAGGCCUUGGGAAUGUGGCUCCUCUCGGGGAGUGUUAUAGCCCUCGGUGCAAUGCAGCCUACCGGGACCGAGGACCGCGCUUCGGCUAGGAUGCUGGCGUAAUGGUUGUAAGCGACCCGUCUUGAAACACGGACCAAGGAGUCUAACAUCUAUGCGAGUGUUUGGGUGUCAAACCCAUACGCGUAAUGAAAGUGAACGGAGGUGAGAACCCUUAAGGGUGCAUCAUCGACCGAUCCUGAUGUCUUCGGAUGGAUUUGAGUAAGAGCAUAGCUGUUGGGACCCGAAAGAUGGUGAACUAUGCCUGAAUAGGGUGAAGCCAGAGGAAACUCUGGUGGAGGCUCGCAGCGGUUCUGACGUGCAAAUCGAUCGUCAAAUUUGGGUAUAGGGGCGAAAGACUAAUCGAACCAUCUAGUAGCUGG